GAUGAACGCUAGCGGCAGGCCUAACACAUGCAAGUCGAACGGUAACAGGAAGAGCUUGCUCUUUGCUGACGAGUGGCGCACGGGUGCGUAACGCGUAUGCAACUUACCCCUAACUGGAGAAUAGCCUUCCGAAAGGAAGAAUAAUACUCCAUAAUACUUCGAAGAGGCAUCUCUUUGUUUUUAAAGCUUCGGCGGUUAGGGAUGGGCAUGCGUCCUAUUAGUUAGUUGGUGAGGUAAAAGCUCACCAAGACUUCGAUAGGUAGGGGCCUGAGAGGGUUAUCCCCCACACUGGUACUGAGACACGGACCAG
rnacentral:rRNA from 1 species